rnacentral:rRNA from 1 species
GGCGUGCCUAAGACAUGCAAGUCGUGCGAGAAAGGGACUUCGGUCCUGAGUAAAGCGGCGCACGGGUGAGUAACGCGUGGGUAACCUACCUCGAAGUUGGGAAUAACCCGGGGAAACCUGGGCUAAUGCCGGAUGAGCCCACGAGAUCUUUGAUCAUGUGGGAAAAGGUGGCCUCUGCUUGCAAGCUACCGCUUCGAGACGGGCCCGCGUCCCAUUAGCUAGUUGGUGAGGUAACGGCUCACCAAGGCUCCGAUGGGUAGCUGGUCUGAGAGGACGAUCAGCCACACUGGAACUGAGACACGGUCCAGACUCCUACGGGAGGCAGCAGUCGGGAAUCUUGGGCAAUGGGCGCAAGCCUGACCCAGCGACGCCGCGUGAGGGAUGAAGGCCUUCGGGUCGUAAACCUCUGUCGGGAGGGAAGAAU